GUGCUUGCUUUGGCAACACAUGUACUAAAGUUGGAAUGACACAGAGAAUAACAGCAUGGUCUCUGCACAAAAUUGACACAAAUUUGUGAAGCAUUCCAAUAAAAA